CAAGCAGAAAGCUGCUGGGAAAGUGGGUGCCCGGGUGGGAGGCGGAAGCCCCAGGGAGAGGCAGACGAAGGUGCCCUGUGCAGGCCCCGCCUCCAGCCUGGCGGACAGUGCCCUGGGUUUCCAUGCCCAGACCAGGGCCUUCCCAGAACCGCAGCCAGGACAUGAAAAGCUGUCAGACAGUUGCCUCUGUGUUCCUGGAAGCUGUGGCUCAGGAAAAGUGGGAGGGAGAGAAGGAGGGAGAGAGCAAUCGAGGGAGAGCAGAAGAGAGUGCGAAGAGAAAGAGAAAGACAGGAGGAGGAGCAAGGGGAAGGGAGGAGGCAAGCGUGGAAAGGUGAGAAGAGGUGAGGCAGAGGCCCACGUGGAGAGGCAGAGCCUGGGACGCUGCCUGCGGGGGAGGUCAGGGCCACAGGGGAACCCACACCCAGCCGGGCAGGAGUCAGAGGCUGUUGUCAUGGUAACUGGCAUCCCAAGGCCUGGUCUGCCUCCUGCCUCCUUUGAUGGUCACUGCUUCCUCUGCGAAGCACCUGUCGCGUGUGGGGGUUUGUACCAAGCUCUUUCCACGCACUAGGGGGAGAAACCAGGCAGCCCACCUUCAGAGCCCGCGUCUUAACUGUGACCCCACGUUGAAAUAAAAUGUGGAAACUGCCCACAGACACACCUCGUGG